rnacentral:rRNA from 1 species
AUUGAACGCUGGCGGCAGGCCUAACACAUGCAAGUCGAACGGUAACAGGAAGCAGCUUGCUGCUUCGCUGACGAGUGGCGGACGGGUGAGUAAUGUCUGGGAAGCUGCCUGAUGGAGGGGGAUAACUACUGGAAACGGUAGCUAAUACCGCAUAAUGUCGCAAGACCAAAGAGGGGGACCUUCGGGCCUCUUGCCAUCGGAUGUGCCCGGAUGGGAUUAGCUUGUUGGUGGGGUAACGGCUCACCAAGGCGACGAUCCCUAGCUGGUCUGAGAGGAUGACCAGCCACACUGGAACUGAGACACGGUCCAGACUCCUACGGGAGGCAGCAGUGGGGAAUAUUGCACAAUGGGCGCAAGCCUGAUGCAGCCAUGCCGCGUGUAUGAAGAAGGCCUUCGGGUUGUAAAGUACUUUCAGCGGGGAGGAAGGGAGUAAAGUUAAUACCUUUGCUCAUUGACGUUACCCGCAGAAGAAGCACCGGCUAACUCCGUG